GGCAGUUCUACCUUUAGGUACUGUUUGGGGAAUUUGAGAAUGCAACUUAAAGAAGAGAAGUCUAAUUUUAAGGAAAUUUUGACCUUGGUUUUGGACCCAUAAAGGACAGAUUGUAGCUCUUUCUUCUGAAAUCAUGAAAAAAGGAGGAUGUCAACGCCACAUUCAAAGCUGUCAGAAAUAUAUUCUACAGCGUUUCAACCUGAGCUCCUCUUUAGAUUGAACUCAAGACAAGUUGAUUAAACACAGUCACGAAUGGCAGCAGAAGAAAGGAGGACCAGAUGAACAGAAAAAUAAGGAGGCGGAGAGAGAAAGAGGAGCAGGAAGGAGCAGAAGAAGAGGGAAAGGGUGACAGGAGAGAAUAGAAGAGGAGGAAGUUAUGGAUGUCUAUGUGUACUGUUUAUCAACAGGAAUGUAAUCUAAAAGCUGAUGUAAAAACUUGUUAAAAUCAAGACAAUUGUCACUACCUAACUGAAUAACACCUGUUAUUGCUUUUAUGUUGACAAUGAUGAUGUAAUUAAAGUUAUUAUGUUUUUCAUGUCACCUUAUGAAGACACAAAUGUUGGUUAAUCCUCCAUGCAACAUCAGUUAUUAACCCUCUUUUUUAUAUAUUUGUAUGUAUUUUCAUUAUUUGACAGUAAAAGAGGUUUUAUAUGAACCCUUUCUAUGAAGCAUCGUAAGUAAGCACACAAACUCAGAUUAAAACA